ACCUAGAGGCCGCUCUCAGGCUCCCAGGCCACAAGCCUGACUCCUUCCUGCCGCCGUCACCGUCACUGUCACCGUCGCAAGCUGCUACCUAUGUUCAUUUCUAAGUCUUUGCUGGGACUUUUUUUAGGAAAAGUGAAUAAAUGCCCGGGGAGGAAAAGAAAGAAUGUGCUUUCCAGGAGCAUCUAGAGAGCUGGCUGCUGCUUCUGCCUUAGAGCUUUGCUAAGGGCUGGAGAACAAGCCUUCAGAUGCCAAGAGAUGUGAAAGGAGAGCCUACCUAACUUCCAAUCUUUGGUGGUGACCGCAGGGCCCCUGGGUCAGGCGGGGCCUCUCCAGGUGGGUCCCCAGGCCCGUGCUCACCAAAGGAGACCCUAACACCACGCGGCAGCUUGGGGAACUCUGAGACCACUGGAGGAACAAGGAAGUGGUGGCGCUGCUGCUGGUUUUGGCUGCGUAGGCUGCAAGAAGCAGGAAAGCGGUGCCUGGCGCUUAGCUACAGAGUAACGAAACCACGGGCACAAUUCAUCUGAGCCAAACUCCUUUCUGCUGGG
rnacentral:lncRNA from 1 species